UACGUAGGGGGCUAGCGUUGUCCGGAAUCAUGGGGCGGAAAGCGCGUGUAGGCGGCCCGGUAAGUCCGCUGUGAAAGUCGGGGGCUCAACCCUCGGAUGCCGGUGGAUACUGUCGGGCUUGAGUACGGAAGAGGCGAGUGGAAUUCCUGGUGUAGCGGUGAAAUGCGCAGAUAUCAGGAGGAACACCGAUUGCGAAGGCAGCUCGCUGGGACGUUACUGACGCUGAGACGCGAAAGCGUGGGGAGCAAACAGG
rnacentral:rRNA from 1 species